AGUAAGCUGGCUAAUCUUGCUACUCAUCAGGAUGGAGUGAGGUACCCAUGGUCAGUCUGCUACAGCAGCACCACAUCCUCCAUCAUUGUGGGACAGUGGGGGGACAACAUCCUGGUGUUCCGAGUGGAAUAGUGUGAACAUUCGCUGCUGAGUCAACGAUGCUGAGGAUGUGGUGGACAAGGAUGACCUGAAUACGCAGAAGCAACUGCUAAGCACAGAAGACAAAGGAGUAGUGAAAGGCUCAGCCAAAUCAAAGCCCAGCGAUGUGAGGGUGACACAGCCUUUCAAGUCCUCGUAUUGCAACAUGAAGGACAUUUAAGCUGAAACUAACAAGGGAGAGAACUGUAGAUCUGCACCAGCACAGAGCACCAGCAUUGAUAUCGAGUUGGCCCAGCAACCACACCAGUUCCGCCUGCAGAAGCCCCAGUCCAGAUUGACCCUCCCCCUCCAUUGACUUCUAACUCCUCCCCCUUGACCUCCUGCCUCAAAAAGUCAGCAUCGUUGAACAACUCUGUUCUGCAGGAAAUUCUUAGGGUGAUUCUGUUCUGACAAACGCAAUGCCCACGUCACGUUUUCCAAACAUAAGCCUGGGUAGUUUUGUUAAGCUAGAGUUCCGCGUGGGCCUAAAAGGGACGAGUGUUACAGACACGAAAAGUUAUAGCAGUAGUUAUGGUAACGCUAACAGUCAGUUGUUGCUGUUGGACAUCACAACAAAUAUCAUGAAGAAUAAAAAGUUCAAUCACUUGUUCCAAUCUUUAUGGGACAAACAGAAAUUGAACAGGAGAGAAUCAAGGAACAAUAAAAGCGUGAGCUUUCCUAGUGGCAUACGUCUGCUGUUGAUAGUUUGGACAACAGUAGGGUUACGGACUGCCCCAGAUUGUCCUCUCAGCGGCCAAAAUAUCAUAAUAGAACAGACUUUUGGCAAUGUUACUGACAAAAAAAGGCAAAAAUGACUUGGUUGUGAACACCAAGAGCGCGAUACAUCCAUGCUGACACAGAAAGGCGGUAAUAACUUGGUUUUGAAAACCCAGAGCACAAUACAUCCAUGCUGACACAGAAAGGAAGUAAUGACUUGGUUGUGAACACCCAGAGCACGAUACAUCCAUGCUGACACAGAAAAUAAGUAAUGGCUUGGUUGUGAACACCCAGAGCAAGAUAUAUCCAUGCUGUUACAGAAAGGCAGUAAUGACUAUGCUGUGAACACCCAGAGCACAAUACAUCCAUGCUGACACAGAAAGGCAGUAAUGACUUGGCUGUAAACACAGAGCACAAUACAUCCAUGCUGACACAGAAAGGCAGUUAUGACUUGGUUGUGAACACAGAGCAUAAUACAUCCUUGUUGACACAGAAAGGCAGUAGUGACUUUGCUGUGAACUCAGAGCACGAUACAUCCAUGCUGACACAGAAAGGCAGUAAAGACUUGGUUGUAAACACCCAGAGCACAAUACAUCCAUGCUGACACAGACAGGCAGUAAAGACUUUGUUGUAAACACUAAGAGAUCCAUACAUCCAUGGGGUGUGCCACAGCCGCAAAUUUCGCCCACUAUUGUGAACAAGGUUCUUAAAGUGAACACGUCUGGUUUUGUUAUGAGCACAUAGCACUCCAAGCCCAAAAGGCCUCGCAUUAAAUUGAUGCAAGAGAAGGCUUUGGAAAAUAACAGCAGUUUUGUUGUGUGGUCCAGUACGCCCUUCGACUCUCAACCUGAAGAAAGCAGAACUCAAACUCGUCUCUUAGCAAUAUCAGCAAGGCUAGCAUGUCAUCUCAGCUUCUUGAACUUCAGUGAACUUUACUAGCAAACAUGACUAACGUCAUUGAAAUGAAAGUCGAUGACAACCCCCUUCUUGCACAAAUACUACAAUUGCUUAAGAAAUUCAGCACGGAGACGUCUUGCGUCAGACUACCAAGCCUCCUAUCAAUAUCUUCUCCCAUGUUGGCUACAUCAACACUUCCAACAGCAGAGCCUUGGUGAGUUCGACUUCCGUCUCGGCAUCGAUGUCGCUUAGCAACAAUUGGAUGAUUGGGUCGACAAAUUAGGCCGGACAAGUUGCUCGAACUGAAACGAUCUGAUUCAACAGGUAGAGCAGGCAUUGCCUGACACGUCCGUUAAUGUGACUGACCUCGAUAUGUUGUUCUCGAAAAAUGUGAACCUUAGACCUGGAGAGCAGUAUGCGAUUGACGCCAUUCAACAACAGUUGUUGUCGGCAAUUCUUGGGUUUGGGGUGGCGACUUCGGCGUCGGGACUUGCUCCAUCUCUGUCUAUGGCCCAGUCGCAGCAGCAGCAACAAGAACAAUAAGUAGUAUCUUAGCGGUGUUCUGCGAUUUGGGGAUUCUGUAUGUGCUUAAAUUGUCAUCCCAGAUUAGCCUAUGCAGACUGCACAUACAUUAAGCCCUAUUAAAGUGUCAUCCCAGAUUAGCCUGUGCAGACUGCACAUACAUUAAGCCCUAUUAAAGUGUCAUCCCAUAUUAGUCUGUGCAGACUGCACAUACAUUAAGUCCUAUUAAAGUGUCAUCCCAGAUUAGCCUGUGCAGAUUGCACAUACAUCAAGUCCUAUUAAAGUGUCAUCCCAUAUUAGCCUGUACAGACUGCACAUACAUUAAGUCCUAUUAAAGUGUCAUCCCAGAUAAGCCUGUGCAGACUGCACAUACAUUAAGUCCUAUUAAAGUGUCAUCCCAGAUUAGCCUGUGCAGACUGCUCAUACAGUAAGUCCUAUUAAAGUGUCAUCCCAUAUUAGCCUGUACAGACUGCACAUACAUUAAGUCCUAUUAAAGUGUCAUCCCAUAUUAGCCUGUGCAGACUGCACAUACAUUAAGUCCUAUUAAAGUAUCAUCCCAUAUUAGCCUGUGCAGACUGCACAUACAUAAAAACCUAUUAAAGUGUCAUCCCAGAUUAGCCUGUGCAGACUGCACAUACAUUAAGCCGUAUUAAAGUGUCAUCCCAUAUUAGCCUGUGCAGACUGCUCAUACAUAAAAACCUAUUAAAGUGUCAUAUCAGAUUAGCCUGUGCAGACUGCACAUACAUUAAGUCCUAUUAAAGUGUCAUCCCAGAUAAGCCUGUGCAGACUGCACAUUCAUUUAGCCCUAUUUUCCCAGAAUGAGGCUUAUAUACUACACUUAACAUCAGUAUUUUAUGUGCCUGAAAAGUUCCUAGCAUCAAAUGGGAAUAAUGUGCUUUUACAUUGAUCACACUUAGUAAAUACAAUGCAAAUAGCACUUGAUCUGAUAUCAAUUUUAAUCAUAGAAGGUCAGGGCAUUAAGUUUUGUAUAUUUUCGACCGACAUUCAGCCCCUGAACCAAAAGUUAAUCCUUGCAUACAAAUCUGCUUUAAUAUAAUUUUUAAAUUAUAUUUAAUUUUAGUAAAAUAAUUACGUAAAAGCCUUCAGCUCAUUUUAUAAUUAUUUUCUUCAUGUAUUUUCAAUAUUUAUUUAAAUUCUUGGAUUUUGUUUUAAUAGCCUGUUCCUGCAGGAACCCAUGCAAUCAUAGAUCGGUACCUAGCUGAACAACAGGCUGUCUGGUCAGCUGGGCCCAGACGCCCAGUGACACUUUCUGGCCCAGGACCUUGGGGCAAAUGCUCAACUAGUCCUACCUGCAGGGUGGAGCCACUCUGAGCCUGGGGCUCCAUACUUUCUUGGCCAGCGGCCAAGAUUACCUUGUCAAUAAGGGACACAUUCCUGGGAUGCCCUAAGGUCUUUCUAUCUGUUCACAGAGGUCUUAUACUCAUAAGUUCAAGCCCAGUGAGCGAUGUUCACAUUAUCAAACUCUGCAUCUCAAUAGAAACCCGGAUAGCAAGGCGUUGAGUUUGUUCUUGAAGCAUUUGCACCAGAAGCAGUCAUCAUCUUGAUAUUCUGGAAUCUCAUGGUGAAGGACGACCUCAGUCUGUGAACAAAAUGCAGAGCUAACCUCAGAUGCCUUUUGACGAAAUCAAACCAUCCGAUCAGAAACACAGACUGUUGCAGCAGUUGUUACCAUAUUGACCGCAGUCAAACCUAAGAAGCUCAGAGAUAAAUACUGAUUUAGUUCUGCUAGUCUCUGCAUACCGCCUGGUUUGGUCAGCACUUACUCUGACUCUUUGAAUAUUAUGACGGAUGGAAAUGAAUGACCUUGUUCAGAUCGAAAUGGCAGAAUGACACAUCACAACAAUUCAAGUGGAAAGCCAGAAAGUCAUGUCAACAGCCACAUUUUGUAUGUCACCAGCCAAGUUGUAUUCAAAGACAAACAAUAGUUUAUGCUCUAUUGUGUAUGUGACCAGCCAAGUUGUAUUCAACAAAAAACAAUAGUUUACGUUUUAUUUUUUAUGUGACCUACCAAGUUGUUUGUAUAGGUCCCUGGUUUAGCAAAGCAUUUAAAGUAUUUUUAAAAGCACACAUAUUGCAUGUCAAUUCAAUGUCUUUGCCUGUAUUAUGAAACUUUCACUACAGAUGUUGAUCCUCAUGAUGGUAAAUAAAUGGGAAAUACAAU